GAUGAACGCUGGCGGCGUGCCUAAUACAUGCAAGUCGAGCGAACAGACGAUGAGCUUGCUCCUCUGACGUUAGCGGCGGACGGGUGAGUAACACGUGGAUAACCUACCUAUAAGACUGGGAUAACUUUGGGAAACCGGAUCUAAUACCGCAUAAUAUAUUCAACCGCAUGGAUCAAUAGUUAAAGACGGUUUUGCUGUCACUUAUAGCUGGAUCCGCGCCGCAUUAGCUAGUUGGUAAGGUAACGGCUUACCAAGGCGACGAUGCGUAGCCGACCUGAGAGGGUGAUCAGCCACACUGGAACUGAGACACGGUCCAGACUCCUACGGGAGGCAGCAGUAGGGAAUCUUCCGCAAAGGGCGAAAGCCUGACCCAGCAACACCGCGUGAGUGAUGAAGGUCUUCGGAUCGUAAAACUCUGUUAUUAGGGAAGAAAAAAUGUGUAAGUAACUAUGCACGUCUUGACGGUACCUAAACAGAAAGCAACGGCUAACUACGUG
rnacentral:rRNA from 1 species